rnacentral:pre_miRNA from 1 species
GCUGAGUUAAAAGGUUGAUUCUAUGGUUUACAGAAAAUAGAAACAGAAGAGAUAGGAAACCAUAGAAUCAACCUUUUAACUCAGC